ensembl:lncRNA
GCUGAACAACCCCAGCUCAUACACAGGAGAUGCUCCAGACCCCUCAUCAUCUUUGUGGCCCUCCACUGGACUAUCUCCAGCAGUUUCCUCUCUUGAUCUGUGUCACCCAUAACUGGACACAGUACUCCAGAUGUAGCCUCCCCAGGGCAGAGAAGAUGGGGAGGAUCGCCUCCAUGCUCUACUGGCCAUGCUCUCCCCAGUGCACCCCGGGAUACCAUUGGUCUUCUUGGCCACCAGGGCACCCUGCUGGCUCAUGGACAACCUUUUGACCACAGGGACAUCCAAGUCCUUCUCUGGAGAGCUCCUCUCCAGCAGGCCAUGGACAGUAAAAAAGACUGGAGAAAGAAAGGAGUAAACGUCCUUGGGAACUGCAUAUUUAGCUCAUUUCUGGAUUUCAAACACAAGGGACUAUUCUUCAUGCACUGACUUGAUAUGCUUUGUAUGUUGCUUGCUAUUUAUUCUCCAUUAAUUGUGUCACUUCUAGCUGACUGAUGCAAAGUAGGAGAUAACAGAAAUGGCACAGGCUGCACAGAAGAGCUGUGGGGUCUCCAACUCUGGAGACAUUCAAAACCCUCCUGGACAUGUUCCUGCGUGACCUGAUCUAGGUGUUCCUCUUCCAGCAGGGAUACUGGACUAGAUUAAUUACUAUUCUGAAUGUUUUCAUUGUGACCAAGCUAAUCCCCUGUUGUAUCAUGGAGCCUCUAUCUUGAGAACAAAUUAUAGUAUAACCAGCACUAGUCAAGACUUAGUACUACAGAGAAGAUUAAAGAUUAUUGUCCCAUCCCUGGAGGCAUUCAAGGCCAGGCUGGAUGUGGCUGUGGGCAUUCUGGUCUGGUGGUUGGCAAUCCUGCACAUAGCAGGGGGGUUGAAACUAGAUGAGCACUGUGGUCCUUCUCAACCCAUUCUAUGAUUGUAUAAUUCUAUGAUUCCAUGAUUCUAUUAUAUAUAUAUAAUAAUGAAUUUAAGAUUGUGCUACUGUAUCUAUGCAUUUAUCCAUAUGACCAUAACUUGAAAAAUGGACUCAUUUUCUCUGAUCUUGGGUUAUAACCACCUUAUUAAAAAUAAAAGAAAAGAGAAAGAAAAUCAAGCACUUCUAAUUUUUUCCUUGGUUUGUGCAGAAUAGAUUGUUCAAUUACUUAAUAAUAUAGGACAGAUAAACUAUAUUUCA